rnacentral:rRNA from 1 species
UACGUAGGGGCGCAACGUUGUCCGGAAUUAUUGGGCGUAAAGAGCUCGUAGGCGGCCCGUCACGUCCGGCUGUGAAAUCCCGGGGCUCAACCCCGGGCCUGCAGUGGAUACGGGGCUGGCUGGAGGCAGGGCAGGGGGAGAACGGAAUUCCUGGUGUAGCGGUGAAAUGACGCAGAUAUCAGGAGGAACACCGGUGGCGAAGGCGGUUCUCUGGGCCUGUACUGACGCUGAGGAGCGAAAGCGUGGGGAGCGAACAGG